CUCUAUUCUCACCCCUCCCAACCGACACUUGGUCUCAAAAUAGAAUCUAGAAUAAACAACGAGGGGUUACAAGGCGAGAGAGAGGGGGGGGGGAAGAGCAGACAACCCUGGGAGGCGAAAAGGACAAUAAACAAAGAGCAGUCAGCAUGCCAACCCUCCUGGAAUUCGAUUUGAAGUUUAUUUCUAUAACCUUCACUCAGCAGUCAGUCUGAGGCGGGUGCCAUCCAUCUUACAACUGGCGGCGCAAGGUGCAUGGAGCCCUAGGUCAGAUAAGGCCCUUGAGAAGUUAUAUUUAUUUUGUAACAGAAACAUUCGUGUCAAGCUGUGUGGACUAGGGAUUGCCUCCCUCAGAAAAGUACAUAUUCAGUUUUCACGACGGGAUCACAAAUAGGGAAAGAGGGGUGUCGGUCGGGGUGUCGGUCAGCUUUAAUAUGUGUGUAGAAUCUUCCUCUCAAACGUUAUCUUAAAAACUGGAUCGGCUGAAGGAUUUUUUUUCUCUCGUUGGCAAAUCGACCAUUUUUAAGUCUGCCUGCAGGAUCUGCCAGACAAAUCAGGUCUUGAACAGACAGGCUUCGACCCUUAUUUCCCCUUCCCCCAUGCUGAACAGUGUUGUGAGUGAGCGAAUGACAACUGGUAGCUGCCCUCCCUCUCUCCACUCCCGCCAUUAAGAUAACGAAUGCUCGGAGCAAAGUCCUGUCUACACACCACUCUCGGCAUCCAAGGUCGCUGGCCCACAUUCCUGCUGGCUGAGUGAUAGCUCCAUGGCUGCCUGCUCUACAUUGUUUGCUGCUCCUUGCACCUCAGUCGGCCGCAACAAAAUGGAACGGUGAUAAGGCCUGCAUUGCAUGCAGCUGUGACCACAGGGCGACCGGUGCACAGCUUGUGACGGAGGCCAUGGAAGUCGGUGCAGUCGCCAACCACAGCGACUCCCACCACCAAGGACAGCGGGGACAGCACGGGGAAGCGGAAAAAAGAGGGCAGGCGCUAAUUCCGCGGCUUUGCUCGGCAGCUCCUUCAAAACUUUUUGCAGGUGAAAAAAAAAAAAAGACAAAUAAACAAAAAGCUAGCGUU